CUAUGGCUUAAAGAUUUGAGAGUUCUCCUCAAAGCAAAAACUGUCAGUAUAUCCUUAAGCACAUAUGUGUGGUAAAGAAUUCAGCUCAUGAUCUCCAUGUUUACUUCACAAUGUGUGCAUUUUUGUUUUGGACUGAAGCAUAGAAACAUUUUCAUUUGCUGAUUCGAUAAGGUACGAGAUUUCUCUUUUAAUCUUAUAUACAAACAAAAUACACGAGCUCCAGUUUGUUCAAUUUUAAACCCAGGCACUGAAAAAAAUAAAGCUAUUCAAUGGUUAGGUGAAGAAACAGCAGCCGUCACAAGAAAGAUGAUUCCACUUAUGGUACAUGAAAACUU
rnacentral:lncRNA from 1 species